UUUCCGUGCACUCACUGUGGUAGGAAAACCACAGGGCAGGCUGCUGUUAUCACUCUCCCAUCAGCUAAAAAUCUGUUUUGUGCUUGCAGCCUUCUAAGAGCAAUAGAGCAUGUCCUGUUGCUUGUCUGACUGCACACUUCUCCAUCUGUGCUUGGCUUGGAUGGUUGUUUCCAGAGAGUGAUGCUUGAGGAGAGCUGUUCGGCCCUGUGGAGCCUUCAAUGGGGGGUUCCACAGGAUUCGAUUUUAUGCCACAUGCUGUUUAACAUCUGCAUGAAACCACUGAAAGGGGUUAUCUGGAGUUUUGGAGCACAUUGUCAGCAACAUGGUGAUGACAAACAGCUCUACUUCUCCUUUACAUCUGCAGGUCAAUGGGCCCUUUGUGGUUAGAAGCUGAGAAUCGUACAGCUGCUCUCCUUUGCAGAAAGAUGAAACAUGCUUCCAGCUCAAACAACACUGAUUCUGGGAGGCAAAAAUCAUUCGCAGCCACCCCUCCCCAGUUUACUUCAGGUGACUCAUUCUGCACUUGCUGGAUGGCUUGUGACUCACUACAUUGUUAGACAUGUCAGUGUGAUGGAAAAUGAUCUGCUUGAGCUCUGA